GACCACAGCGGUCAUCUCUACCUGCGACCAUGGUAUAGUAGCCAAGAUCAAGAGAGUGAUCAUGGAGAGAGACACUUACCCUCGGAAGUGGGGUUUAGGUCCAAAGGCAAGUCAGAAGAAGCUGAUGAUCAAGCAGGGCCUUCUGGACAAGCAUGGGAAGCCCACAGACAGCACACCUGCCACCUGGAAGCAGGAGUAUGUUGACUACAGGUGAGGGCAGGAUGUUUCAGAGCCAGGGGUGGGUAGAGACGGCACACUUGCUGCCUUGAUGCAGGAGUAUGUCAACAACAGGUGAGGAUGGGAAGGUAGAGCCCACUUGCCAUCUGGACGCAGGAGUACAUGGACAACAGGUGAGGAACAGGUGAGCAUGGAGGUUGUAGAGCCCAGGGGAGGGGGAGUCACUUGGUUUGGGGCAAACUUGCUAAAUGUAGGACCACAGGAACCAGCUCUUCGGCUCCCGUGAGAUUUUGGCUGCCCAGGCCAGUUAGGGGUGUGGGCCUGCACGGCAGACAGUUAUCCCUUUCUAGUCUGGCUCGUGGGACUCUAGAGGGAGUCAGUCUGCAACAGUAAGUGGUGAGUUCUUCUGUCAAGCGUCAGUAUUUUGAUGGUGGCUUUAGACUUGCCAGAUAACACUACAUAACAUCAGUACUGCCCUGGAAAGCCAUUCAGUGAAUUUGACCUAUUGCUACCUCUUUUUCAGUGAGUCUGCCAAAAAAGAGGUGGUUGCUGAAGUGGUAAAAGCCCCGCAGGUAGUUGCCGAAGCAGCAAAAACUGCGAAGGUGAGUGGCAUGCUGUCCUCAGUUUGGAAUGUGCUUAGGGA
rnacentral:sRNA from 1 species